rnacentral:rRNA from 1 species
UACGAAGGGGGCUAGCGUUGCUCGGAUUUACUGGGCGUAAAGAGCGCGCAGGCGGCCAAGUCAGUCGAAUGUGAAAGCCCCCGGCUCAACUGGGGAGGGUCAUUCGAUACUGCUCGGCUCGAAGACAGGAGAGGGAAGUGGAAUUCCCGGUGUAGUGGUGAAAUGCGUAGAUAUCGGGAGGAACACCAGUGGCGAAGGCGACUUUCUGGCCUGUUCUUGACGCUGAGGCGCGAAAGCUAGGGGAGCAAACGGGG